rnacentral:rRNA from 1 species
GAUGAACGCUGGCGGUGUGCCUAAUACAUGCAAGUCGAGCGAACAGACGAGGAGCUUACUCCUCUGACGUUAGCGGCGGACGGGUGAGUAACACGUGGAUAACCUACCUAUAAGACUGGGAUAACUUCGGGAAACCGGAGCUAAUACCGGAUAACAUGUUGAACCGCAUGGUUCAACAGUGAAAGACGGUCUUGCUGUCACUUAUAGAUGGAUCCGCGUCGCAUUAGCUAGUUGGUAAGGUAACGGCUUACCAAGGCAACGAUGCGUAGCCGACCUGAGAGCGUGAUCGGCCACACUGGAACUGAGACACGGUCCAGACUCCGACGGGAGGCAGCAGUAGGGAAUCUUCCGCAAUGGGCGAAAGCCUGACGGAGCAACGCCGCGUGAGUGAAGAAGGUCUUCGGAUCGUAAAACUCUGUUAUUAGGGAAGAACAAAUGUGUAAGUAACUAUGCACGUCUUGACGGUACCUAAUCAGAAAGCCACGGCUAACUACGUG